rnacentral:rRNA from 1 species
CCUACGGGUGGCAGCAGUGAGGAAUAUUGGUCAAUGGCCGGGAGGCUGAACCAGCCAAGUCGCGUGAGGGAAGACGGCUCUACGUGUUGUAAACCUCUUUUGUCAGGGAGCAAGGUGCAGGUCGGGACCUGCUGUGAGAGUCUCUGUAGAAAAAGCAUCGGCUAACUCUGCGUCAGCAGCCGCGGUAAUCCGGAGGAUGCGAGGGUUAUCCGGAUUUAUUGGGGUUCACGGGUGCGCAGGCGGAGGCCCAAGUCAGCGGGAAAAUCGCGGGUCUCAACCCGGCUCCGCCGGUGAAACGGGGUCCAAUGAGUGCGCGAAGGGUAGGCGGAAUUCGUGGUGUAGCGGGGGAAUGCA